AACGAACGCUGGCGGCAGGCCUAACACAUGCAAGUCGAACGAGCUGAGACCUUCGGGUCUCGAUGCUAGUGGCGCACGGGUGAGUAACGCGUGGGAACGUACCCUUUAGUACGGAAUAACCAAGGGAAACUUUGGCUAAUACCGUAUACGCCCUUCGGGGGAAAGAUUUAUCGCUAAAGGAUCGGCCCGCGUCUGAUUAGGUAGUUGGUGAGGUAACGGCUCACCAAGCCGACGAUCAGUAGCUGGUCUGAGAGGAUGAUCAGCCACACUGGGACUGAGACACGGCCCAGACUCCUACGGGAGGCAGCAGUGGGGAAUAUUGGACAAUGGGCGAAAGCCUGAUCCAGCCAUGCCGCGUGAGUGAAGAAGGCCUUCGGGUUGUAAAGCUCUUUCGACGGGGACGAUGAUGACGGUACCCGUAUAAGAAGCCCCGGCAAACUUCGUGCCAGCCGCCGCCGUAA
rnacentral:rRNA from 1 species